UCCAAGAUUAGAUAUCCCAUGGCGUAAGCCAGUAAGGCCCCUUGUAGACUACAAGGUUGAUAGGCUGCGUGUGUAAGCAUGGUAACAUGUUCAGCUUGGCAGUACUAAUAGGCCGAGGGCUUGACCAU
rnacentral:rRNA from 1 species